GAGGUCUUGUGUGGCUGAGCUGGGGUUUAGACCUGGAUCUGCCUUAUUGCUUAGCCACAGGAUUCUCUACUGCCCGGUCUUGAUCACGGAAAAGAAGCUCUUCAGAUCACACCCCUCAGCCUCACCAUCAUCUAACAGGUGAAGAAGAGAAGCUCCGAGGGGUAAACCAACUACCUGGUCCCCAUUGUAAAGGUGGUGAGUGUCUGAGGGUUCUCCAAGGAAGUGCUCUCCCUGACCCAUGAGGAAUGUUCACCCUCCUCUGCAGAGGCAGCCAGGUAGAAGGAACCCUGACCUACUGGAAUGAUCUGGAAGUCAGUGGACAUCUUGGGACUGUUUGGAGAGACAGGCUCCCCCUUCGACGGUACUGUUCAGGCUACCUCAAUUAACACAUGACAUGGCGAGGAGGCUGGAGAUGUGUUUUAGCCAUGUGCUGUGGAAGAAGAAAAGGCAGAACACAAGUAUUGGUAAGCUAUCAGCCAUCACCCUCACAUAGGCUGACCCCCACGAUGGGAAGCCCCACACCUUUUUUUUUUUUUUUAAGAGAGGGUCUUACACUGAUGCCCAGGCGGGAGUGCAGUGUGGUGAUCAUGGCUCACUGCAGCCUUGACCUCCAGGGCUCACGCGAUCCUCCACCUCAGCCUCCCAAGUAGCCGAGACCACAGCCACGUG
rnacentral:lncRNA from 1 species